rnacentral:lncRNA from 1 species
CCAUGUUCAUUGCAGCAUUCCUCACAAUAGCCAAGGUAUAGAAACAGCCUAAGUGCUUACUGAUUGAUGAAUGGAUAAAAAUAUUUUGGUGUAUGUGUAAAACAGAAUAUUAUUCAGCAUUUUAAAAAAGGAGAUCCUGCCAUUUGCCCCACAAUGUAGAACCUGGAAGGAAUAAUCCAGUGAAAUAAGCCAGACACAUAAAUAAAAAUAUUUCAUGAUCUCACUGAUAUUUGGAAAAUAAGAAAAAUCAAAGAUACAGAAAUAAAGAAUAAAAUAUUGGUUACCGGGACCAGGCAAGGUGGGUGGGGUACAGCAUGAAUGGGAUGAUAAAGGUUAGAGGCUAUGAAGGAGCAGACAUGUAGGAUGAACUAGUCUAAAGAUCUAAUGUACAACAUUAAUGUACUAGUUAAUAAAACUGUACUGUUAAAAAAAGAAUCACGGACAGAAAAUUUUGAAAGCAAUAAGGUAAAGAAAAUUCCUCACAUACAAGGGAGUGUGGUGGCUUUCAGUGGAUUUUUCAACAAAAACUUUGCAAGCCAGGAGAGAGUUUGAUUAUGCGGUUGACACUUGAAGAAUAUAAAUUGAAGUACUUGGGUUCACUUACAUAUGGAUUUUCAUCUGCCUCUACCACCGCCAAGACCAAUCCCUGUUUUUCCUCCUUUUCCUCAGCCUACUCAACAUGAAGAUGACAAGGACAGCUCAGCCAAGCUUCUGAUUCCCUGGAACCUGGAGCACUUCAUCAGUUUGGCCGCAGAAGGCACAACUGCUCUGGGGGACCUAAGCUUAGGGUCCCUGGAAGGUGAAAGCAUUGACUCAGCUUUGGCACUGGAGAAGCAGGAUGCUCUGAAUUAGGUUAUUAUCGAUGCAUAUUUGACCUGCUCAUCGAGUCUGACAAGUGACCCGGGAACCAUUUCAUCCUGAUUAAGAACCAUUAUUGGGGAACUAGUACAGUUAUUUGGAGAAAGUCAUGUACAGAGGAGUUUAAGACGACAGAUGGGAAGCAGCUAGUAUACACUGCUCUCAUGGAGAUGAAACAAAGUGGUGAGUAAAUACUAGUUCCUCAAGUGGAUUGUCAAGGAGAUCCCAUGAAGAUUCACCAAGGAAGCAACAGGACCAACAGAGAACAAGAGGAGCGAAGCCAGGCAGCUGCCCACCCAGAACUGAUGGAGAGUGGGGGAAGCUCCCUCACGCAGGGAAAGGUGAGUGAGUGAGAGUCCUGAGGGGAUCUAUACUUCUGUGAUAGACCUUUGCAAUCCCGGACAUGAGAGAUAUUCCUGACCCCCAGGAGCCUCCAGAUUGAGAUGGAGAGCCACCUAGAGUCUUUGCAGAAGAACCAUUGAAGCCCACAUGGGGCCCUACAGGCCUUGAAUCCCUGAGUAGUCCAGUGCCAUCUGCUGUAGCCCCAACAGAGGCUGCAGCCAUGGUGCUAAGAAGCAGCCAGACUGCCCCACUGCUCCUCAGUAGGCAAGGCUUGCCAGCAUGGGUUUCCAGCACAGUGGCCCCACCCCAACCUGAACCUGGGUGGUCAUGGCUCUGAGUUUCUCCAGGAAGCACCCAGGCUGCAGACUAUGUGACCUCCUAUCCCCACUGCUCCUCAUCCGGCAGGGCUUGCUGACUUGGGCUCCUAAUGCCUAAUGCCCCAACUUUGCCUGAAUACUGUGGGUGGUCACAGCUCUGCAUUUCUCCAGAAAGCACCCAGACUAAAGACCGUGUGACCCCUACCCACACUGCUCCUUGCAAGGCAGGGCUUGCCAACCUGGGCUCCUAGUGCAGCAGCCCUGGAUCCACCUAAACACCUGUUGUCAGUCACAGCUCUGCAUUUCUCUGGGACAAAACUCCAAAAGGUAACAAACAAGGCUUGGCACCUUUGCAUUGUUCUGACAGUGAAGUCUAGCACUGCUUGGGUAAAAGUGAAGUGCAAGUGUGCCAUGUGCCCCACAGCUGCCAGUCUCCAUUGCUCCAGCUGAGGGAUCUUCCCCUCCUCAGUGAAAGGCCCACUGCAUAGCCACCCUUACCCUACUUGAACAUUUCAUCUGCAGUCCACAGCCAUUCUGAAAACCCAACUCCCACAGGUUUGUGAUAUUCCUUUUGGUUCCCCCCACCUAAGUGUUCUGCCUGCCCCUGGUUUCCACCAUCUAAGCAUUUUACCUGCUGCCACCUAAGAGUUUGGCCAGUGACCCAGGGACCAACCCGCCACUCUUCAUCAUAACCAGCACUUGAACUCUGGGUUAGCCUGAUUCUGGCACAGCCCUUUCAGGACUCAUACCCAUUGCUCUGCAAGCCAUCGAGGAGCCUGGAAAUUACCUACGUACCCUACCCCUACCCUGUUCCAACUCUACAGGCACUGGACCACUUCCCCAGGGCCCAAAGUCAGGCUGACCUAACCAGUCACCACCACCAGAACCAAAACUCACUCAUGUGGGCCCAAAGGUGGAGACCCCCCGCCCACCCACCAUUUACAAGCAGCAGCAGUACUGUCACACUGGCAAAGACGUGAGCCAUAAAACUGUCUGUAUCAGGUUCAGAGAUUAAAUUAUGCCCUGAAACCACUCCCACAGAGAGUCACAAAACAGGCAUUUACUGUGGCUCUCAACCUCACUGUAGUCCAGAGAUAGACUAGAAUAUGAAUCUAAACUAGGAGUCAUGAGCCCUGGAACAAUUGUGUAAUAGGAAAACAGAUCAAGUUCCUGCCUAUGUAGGAUAGGAAGCUGGUGCAACCAUCUCAACUCCCUGCAGAGUCUUUAGUGCACUUCAUAAGGAACUCCUCCCAUUAACCCUCAUCAGGGCAGGUGCCUGUGCUUGCCAUUUGGGCAUUUGUGGGAAAGCAAGGGGCUCCAGCUGUGUCUCUCCAACCCCACAGAACAGGAAACUUAUGGCACCAGGUACUCCAAUGUCCAGUCCUUCACUUGAAACAACAGAGAGCACCUCAAUAAACAAAGAUCAGGUACCUACCUACCUGCUUAUGUUGCAACUGGCUCUCACCUGAGAGCACCACUGACCAACUUCUAGGUCAAACUGCACAGCUCAAUAUAAAACCAGCCCACGGAAGUGCAUAAGGCAAUAGAAGCAAAGCCAAAACACCAUAAGUCAACAGAGGCAAUGCCAAAAGACCCACCCACUCCUCUCCAGACAAGCAGGAACUAGCAUAAGAAUUCUGACACUAUAGGCCGGGUGUGGUGGCUCACGCCUGUAAUCCCAGCACUUUGGGAGGCUGAG